rnacentral:rRNA from 1 species
AUGGUGAAGCCGCGAAUAGCUCAUUACAACAGCCAUAGUUUAUUGGAUCUUCUCCAUUACUUGGAUACCUGUAAUAAUUUUAGAGCUAAUACACGCAAUCAAGCUCCAAUCUCGCGAGCGGAGCGCAUUUAUUAGAACAAAACCAAUCGGGCUUGCCCGUAGUUUGGUGAAUCUGAAUAACUCAGUUGAUCGCACAGUCUAGCACUGGCGACGUAUCUUUCAAGUGUCUGCCUUAUCAACUGUCGAUGGUAGUUUAUAUGACUACCAUGGUUGUAACGGGUAACGGAGAAUAAGGGUUCGACUCCGGAGAGGGAGCCUGAGAAACGGCUACCACAUCCAAGGAAGGCAGCAGGCGCGCAAAUUACCCACUCUCAGUACGAGGAGGUAGUGACGAAAAAUAACGAGACGGUUCUCUAUGAGGUCCGUCAUCGGAAUGGGUACAAUUUAAACCCUUUAACGAGGAUCUAUUGGAGGGCAAGUCUGGUGCCAGCAGCCGCGGUAAUUCCAGCUCCAAUAGCGUAUAUAAAGUUGUUGC